ACAUUGCACGGGUGGAGGGGGGGGGGUUCCAGGGCAACAUCAGCACUGAUCCAGGCCCAACAAGAAACAGAUGAGGGGCCCGGGGAGGUCUCCUCCACAAGAGCAGAGGAAGGCCUGGCGGCCCCCCAGACUUCUCCCAGCUGUCACGCAGAAGAGGGCCUCAGGGUAGCUCUGGAAGGCCGGGGAGCAUGGCGAGAACCGAGAAGCUCAGGAGGUGGGGGAGUAUGGCAAGAGCCUUCACCUUCUGGGUCUGUAAAAUGGGUUCUCGGGCCCUUCCAGAUCCAGGUCUCCAAGUCCCAAGGGGAGUGAGCAGUAAUGGGACAAAAGAGUUAAGCUUGACCCAAAGAGCUUUCUCGUCAGCAGGGCGGGCCAGAACCAGCUCCCCUCACACUGGGAGGGACCCCUCCGCCAGGACGCCCCAGAGUGCCUCCCGGAUGAUUAGAACUGGAAGAGUGAGGGAGCCAUGGAAGUCCUUGCUGCGAGAUGAGGACCCCAAAGAGUCCUCGUGGUUCUGAAGGCUGCAGAGUCCGAGUCAGACCUGGAGAGAGAAGAGAGGAGAGCUUACUUCUGGGCGCCCCGGCUCGAGGGGCCGCAUCCCUGGGAAGGCCCUGAGUGGUUGGAGGCCAGGACCGCGGCUCUUGUGACAGACCGCGUCGGGGGUGUCCCAGGGCCGCGGGAGGCCCCCCCGACUCCAGCAGGGCAGGCGCAUCUCGUCGGAGCCAUGGCUUCUAUUAAUGGAGUCUAUAAAUUCCUGCUCCGCGGAGCCACAAUCAGACUCUUGUAAAGAUUUAAUAGCUGCCUCCAAACUGCACGGAAAUUGCUUUUCCGCUGCUCAAUUGCUUUCUUCCCCCCGAAGAUGCACAUGGGUGUUUAAAAACAGACCAGCAGACUUAGCUUCUCUGUUCUGGGAAGCAACUUCCUGCAGCUGUGCCCAAGCGGCGAGGGGCCAGAGAGAGGGGGCUGGUCCCCGCCUGGGGGAGGGUCCGGGAGACCUGGGAGCGAGG
rnacentral:lncRNA from 1 species